rnacentral:rRNA from 1 species
AUACGGAGGGUGCAAGCGUUACUCGGAAUCAUUGGGUUUAAAGGGUCCGCAGGCGGAUUAAUAAGUCAGUGGUGAAAUCCUCUCGCUCAACGAGAGAACUGCCAUUGAAACUGUUAGUCUUGAAUUCGGUCGAAGUAGGCGGAAUGUGUCAUGUAGCGGUGAAAUGCAUAGAUAUGACACAGAACACCGAUAGCGAAGGCAGCUUACUAGACCUGGAUUGACGCUCAUGGACGAAAGCGUGGGGAGCGAACAGGAUUAGAAACCCUAGUAGUCC